GUUGCGCUACCUACCACUUGUUAUAUCAUGCCUCCCAUGUUGCCAUGUCAAGCCUCUAACCCACCUUCCUAGCAAACCGUUGUUUGGCUAUGUUACCCUUUUGCUCAGCCCCUCUUAUAGCGUUGCUAGUUGCAGGUGAAGUUGAAGUUUGUUCCAUGUUGGAACAUGGUUAUGUUGGGAUAUCACAAUAUAUCUUAUUUACUUUAAUGCAUCUAUAUACUUGGUAAAGGGUGGAAGGCUCGGCCUUUUGCCUGGUGUUUUGUUCCACUCUUGCCACCCUAGUUUCCUUCAUACCGGUAUUAUGUUCCUUGAUUUUGCGUUCCUUACACGGUUGAGUGUUAUGGGAACCCCUUGACAGUUUGCUUUGAAAAAAACUCCUCUAGUAAGGCCCAACCUUGUUUUUAACAUUUUCCACCUAAGCCUUUUCCCUUGGGUUUCGCGGACUCAAGGGUCAUCUUUAUUUCAAACCCCCAGGCCAGUUCUCCUCUGAGUGUUGGUCCAAACUGUCAACCGCCAGUGGCCACCAGGGGCAACUCUGGGCUGUCCUACUAGAAGUUUGGACAAUCCGGUGUGCCUUGAGAACGAGAUAUGUGUAGCUCCUAUCGGGAUUUGUUGGCACAGUCGGGCGGCUUUGCUGGUCUUGUUUUACCAUUGUCAAAAUGUCUUGUAACUGGGAUUCCGAGACUGAUCGGGUCUUUCCAGGAGAAGGAAUAUCCUUCAUUGACCGUGAGAGCUUGUGAUGGGCUAAGUUGGGACACGCCUGCAGGGUAUAAACUUUCGAGAGCCGUGCCUGUGGUUAUGUGGAAGAUGGGAAUUUCUUAAUAUCUGGUUGUAGAAAACUUGACACUUCACUUAGUAAAAAUGAAUCAACCGCGUGUGUAGCUGUGAUGGUCUCUUUUCGGCGGAGUCUGGGAAGUGAACACAGUAUUGUGUUAUGCUUGAACGUAAGUAGCUUCAGGAUCACUUCUUGAUAACUUCUAGCUUCUCGACCGUGCGUUGCUUCUCUUCUCGCUCUCAACUGCGUAUGUUAGCCACCAUAUAUGCUUAGUGCAUUGUUGCAGCUCCACCUCACUACCUUCUCCUACCCAUAAUCUUAAAUAGUCUUGAUCUCACGGGUGUGAGAUUGAUGAGUCCUCGUGACUCACGGAUACUUCCAAACAGUUGCAGGUGCCGAGGAUACCAGUGCAGGUGAUGCUACCAAACUCAAGUGGGAGUUCGAUGAGGAUCUGGGUUGUUGCCAUGUUUCGUUUCCUGAUGAUCAGUAGUGGAGCCCAGUUGGGACGAUGGGGGGUCUAGCAUUUGGGGUUGUCUUCCUUUAUUUUGGCCGUAGUCAGUCUUUGAGUGUAUUUGUUUGAUGUAUGAACUAUUUAUGUAUUGUGUGAAGUGGCGAUUGUAAGCCAACUCUUUAUCCCUUUCUUAUUCAAUACAUGGGAUUGUGUGAAGAUUACCCCUCUUCCGACAAAACUACCAUGCGGCUAUGCCUCUAAGUCGUGCCCCGACAGUGGGAGAUAUAGCCGCAUUGUGGGUGUUACAAGUUGGUAAUCAGAGCCAUCCCCGACUUAGGAUCCCCCUGCUUGAUCGAAUCGCUAACGUUGUUGAGUCUAGAACAAAAUGUUUUGAGUCUUAGGAUUAUAUAUAUCGGAGAGUAGAACUCUUUUUACUCCUUAGUCCCUUCGUCGCUCUGGUGAGGCCUCCUGACGUAGAAGUUUUGACUUCCCUCUCCUCAAAUUUCACGAUUUUUUUAGGAUCAUGCGGGUAUCUUGGAGUCGUUCUGAUAGUCUUGUGACGAGAACAUUGUUCUUGGUGCCUCCUGACAUUUAGGGGUUGUGGCAGUGUCCCGGGGAGUUGAGCUCCAAGGUGUUGUUGUCACAAUUUUAUUGUUGUAGUUCUGGAAUACCAGAGAUCGCCGGCAUCGAAAAUCUCUUUUAUGCAGUUGUUGGUGAGAUAACCUCGACGCCACCCAGUACUGGGGCAGGAGUUCGGGAGUAUUGCCAUGACUCGUAUAACAGAUGUUUUUCGAAUGUUGAGGUACAUGAUUUCCGAAGGUUUCUUGGUUAUGUGUUGAAGGAUGGAUACAGCCAGAUGUUGGAAUUGUUAGUUUGGGUGAGAUAUUAUGCUUCCCCUAUAUCCCCAACACCUAAUUGCAUAACCAGAAAGAUUCGGGAGUUUUAUAGGUGGGAAUUCAAGUAGCUCUAGUAUUUCUUCCCGUAGAUAUUUGGUUUGUGAUUGGGUAAUCCUUACCACUUAUUUGUUCAUAUCCAUACCAUGUUGCUUUGUUCAUCUACCUUUAUCUAAGUGGCUUCUCAACUUAAUGGACGUGUGAUGAUUUACUUUGGAAUUCAUUCGUUCAUCCUUGUUCAAAUGUUUAUUGUGAAGACUACAUGUUGCAAUUUCGAUCCAUUGAUUUAGCUUGUCUAUCUGUCUUUCAAGAUUCUAACGGAUGUCACCCUCUUCAGGAUGGCUCCUCCAACGCGUCAGAAUCCAGACCGCAAUGAUGGGGAUCAAUCGAACCCUCCGCCACCACCUCCACCUCCGGAGGCAUGGCAAGCCACCAAUGCCAACACUCAGAUGCUUUUGCAAAUCUUGCAAGAGCGCAACCAAGGUCAAGGCAGCCAAGGAAAUCAAGGACAAGGCAACAAUCAACCUCAAUUUGCUACCAUCAACCAGUUCCUCGCAAACCAGCCGAAGUCUUUCAGCAAAUGUGUCAAGGCCACAAACAUCGACGAUUGGCUCAUAGACAUCUGCAAGCAUUUUGAAUGUACCAAUGUCAGGUCUAAGGACUUUGUCAAGUUUGCUUCGUUUCAACUCAAGGACCAAGCUGCUGAGUGGUUUCAACAAUACAGAGAUUCCAGAGGAGGUCGUGUGAUUACCUGGGAUGGUUUCCGUCGAGACUUCAAAGCUCAUCACAUCCCACCAAGUGUUGCUGAGAGCAAGCGUGAGGAGUUCCGCAAUCUCAAGCAAGGCAGCAUGUCCGUGUAUCAAUACAAUAUCCAGUUUCAGAAACUUGCUCGCUUCGCUAAACAAGACAUUCCUGAUGAAAAGAGUAUGAUCUAUCAAUUCAGAGGUGGCCUCAGAGAAGAUCUGCAGUUAGCUCUCAUGCUUCUUGAGCCAACUAAGUUCGAUAAAUUCUAUAACAUGGCACUAAAGCAAGAAGCUGCUCAGCUCAAGUGUGAGGCUUCUAAGAAGAGAGUCAGGGAUGCAGUUCAAUCUUGUUCCUCAUCACAACUGGCAGCUAAGCAACAGAAGUUCUGGUUGCCUCCUCCUCCGUUUCGCCAGCCCUACCAGCAGAAGAGCAAAUGUGGCAAUGGAUCUUACCACCCACCCAACCCGGGCUAUCAGAACAAAGCUCAGUCUCAAACUCCAAGGUCAAGUGCUCCAUAUCAUCGUCCGCUCUCAGAGGUUACUUGCAACAAGUGUCAGCAGAAAGGGCACUAUGCAAACAAGUGAAGGAAAUAUGCCCUAGAGGCAAUGAUAAAGUUAUUAUUUAUUUCCUUAUAUCAUGAUAAAUGUUUAUUAUUCAUGCUAGAAUUGUAUUAACCGGAAACAUAAUACUUCUGUGAGUACAUAGACAAACAAAGUGUCACUAGUAUGCCUCUACUUGACUAGCUCGUUAAUCGAAGAUGGUUAUGUUUCCUAAACCAUAAACAAAAGAGUUGUUAUUUGAUUAACGGGAUCACAUCAUUAGGAGAAUGAUGUGAUUGACAUGACCCAUUCCAUUAGCUUAGCACCCGAUUGUUUAGUAUGUUGCUAUUGCUUUCUUCUUGACUUAUACAUGUUCCUAUGACUAUGAGAUUAUGCAACUCCCGUUUGCCGGAGGAACUCUUUGUGUGCUACCAAACGUCACAACGUAACUGGGUGAUUAUAAAAGAGCUCUACAGGUGUCUCCAAAGGUACAUGUUGGGUUGGCGUAUUUCGAGAUUAGGAUUUGUCACUCCGAUUGUCGGAGAGGUAUCUCUGGGCCCUCUCGGUAAUGCACAUCACAUAAGCCUUGCAAGCAUUGCAACUAAUGAGUUAGUUGUGAGAUGAUGUAUUACGGAACGAGUAAAGAGACUUACCGGUAACGAGAUUGAACUAGGUAUUAAGAUACCGACGAUCGAAUCUCGGGCAAGUAACAUACCGAUGACAAAGGGAACAACGUAUGUUGUUAUGCGGUCUGACCGAUAAAGAUCUUCGUAGAAUAUGUAGGAGCCAAUAUGGGCAUCCAGGUCCCGCUAUUGGUUAUUGACCGGAGACGUGUCUCGGUCAUGUCUACAUUAUUCUCGAACCGUAGGGUCCGCACGCUUAAGGUUUCGAUGACAGUUAUAUUAUGAGUUUAUGAGUUUUGAUGUACCGAAGGAGUUCGGAGUCCCGGAUGAGAUCGGGGACAUGACGAGGAGUCUCGAAAUGGUCGAGACGUAAAGAUCGAUAUAUUGGACGACUAUAUUUGGACAUCGGAAAGGUUCCGAGUGAUUCAGAUAUUUUUCGGAGUACUGGGUAGUUACGGGAGAAGCAAUGGGCCUUGAUGGGCUUUAGUGGGAAGAGGAAAAAGGGCCAAGGGGCUGCUGCGCCCCCCCCCCCUCCCCUCUAGUCCGAAUUGGACUAGGGAAAAGGGGGCCGGCCACCUUUCCUUCUCCUCUACUUCCUUCUCCCUUCCUCCCCUCUUGGUGGACUCCUGCUAGGACUUGGAGUCCUAGUAGGACUCCACAUCCUGGCCGCACCAAUUGCCUUGGCCGGCCUCCUCCUCCUCCUCCAUCCUUUAUAUACUGAGGCAAGGGGCACCCCAUGAACACAAGUUGAUCUUCGUGAUCGUUCCUUAGCCGUGUGCGGUGCCCCCCUCCACCAUAUUCCACCUCGGUCAUAUUGUAGCGGUGCUUGGGCGAAGCCCUGCGACGAUAGAACAUCAAGAUCGUCACCACACCGUCAUGCUGACGGAACUCCUCCCCGACGCUUUGCUGGAUCGGAGCCCGGGGAUCGUCAUCGAGAUGAACGUGUGCCAAGAACUCGGAGGUGCCGGAGUAACGGUGCUUGGAUCAGUCGGAUCGUGAAGACGUACGACUACAUCAACCGCGUUGUCACAAUGCUUCCGCUGUCGGUCUACAAGGGUACGUAGAUCACACUCUUCCCCCUCAUUGCUAUGCAUCACCACGAUCUUGCGUGUGCGUAGGAAAUUUUUUGAAAUUACUAUGUUCCCCAACAGUGGCAUCCGAGCCUAGGUUUUAUGUGUUGAUGUUUUUGCACGAGUAGAACACAAGUGAGUUGUGGGCGAUAUAAGUCAUACUGCUUACCAGCAUGUCAUACUUUGGUUCGGCGGUAUUGUUGGACGAAGCGGCCCAGACCAACAUUACGUGUACGCUUACGCGAGACCGGUUCUCCCGACGUGCUCUGCGCAUAGGUGGCUUGCGGGUGACAGUUUCUCCAACUUUAGUUGAACCAAGUGUGGCUACGCCCGGUCCUUGCGAAGGUUAAAACAGCACCAACUUGACAAACUAUCAUUGUGGUUUUGAUGCGUAGGUAAGAUUGGUUCUUGCUUAAGCCCGUAGCAGCCACGUAAAACUUGCAACAACAAAGUAGAGGACGUCUAACUUGUUUUUGCAGGGCAUGUUGUGAUGUGAUAUGGUCAAGACAUGAUGCUAAAUUUUUAUUGUAUGAGAUGAUCAUGUUUUGUAACCGAGUUAUCGGCAACUGGCAGGAGCCAUAUGGUUGUCGCUUUAUUGUAUGCAAUGCAAUCGCGCUGUAAUGCUUUACUUUAUCACUAAGCGGUAGCGAUAGUCAUGGAAGCACAAGCUUGGCGAGACGACAACGAUGCUACGAUGGAGAUCAAGGUGUCGCGCCGGUGAUGAUGGUGAUCAUGAUGGUGCUUCGGAGAUGGAGAUAACAAGCACAAGAUGAUGGCCAUAUCAUAUCACUUAUAUUGAUUGCAUGUGAUGUUUAUCUUUUAUGCAUCUUAUCUUGCUUAGAUUGACGGUAGCAUUAUAAGAUGAUCUCUCACAAAUUAUCAAGAAGUGUUCUCCCUGAGUAUGCACCAUUGCGAAAGUUCUUCGUGCUGAGACACCACAUGAUGAUCGAGUGUGAUAGGCUCUAUGUUCAAAUACAACGGGUGCAAAACAGUUGCACACGCGGAAUACUCAGGUUAUACUUGACGAGCCAAGCAUAUACAGAUAUGGCCUCGGAACACGGAGACCAAAAGAUCGAGCGUGAAUCAUAUAGUAGAUAUGAUCAACAUAGUGAUGUUCACCAAUGAAACUACUCCAUCUCACGUGAUGAUCGGACAUGGUUUAGUUGAUUUGGAUCACGUAAUCACUUAGAGGAUUAGAGGGAUGUCUAUCUAAGUGGGAGUUCUUAAGUAAUAUGAUUAAUUGAACUUAAAUUUAUCAUGAACUUAGUCCUGGUAGUAUUUUGCAAAUUAUGUUGUAGAUCAAUAGCUCGCGUUGUUGCUUCCCUGUGUUUAUUUUGAUAUGUUCCUAGAGAAAAUUGUGUUGAAAGAUGUUAGUAGCAAUGAUGCGGAUUGGAUCCGGGAUCUGAGGUUUAUCCUCAUUGCUGCACAGAAGAAUUAUGUCCUUGAUGCACCACUAGGUGACGGACCUAUUGCAGGAGCAGAUACAGACGUUAUGAACGUUUGGCUAGCUCAAUAUGAUGACUACUUGAUAGUUUAGUGCACCAUGCUUAAUGGCUUAGAAUCGGGACUUCAAAGACGUUUUGAACGUCAUGGAGCAUAUGAGAUGUUCCAGGAGUUGAAGUUAAUAUUUCAAGCAAAUACCCGAGUUGAGAGAUAUGAAGUCUCCAACAAGUUCUAUAGCUAAAAGAUGGAGGAGAAUCGCUCAACUAGUGAGCAUGUGCCCAGAUUGUCUGAGUACUACAAUCGCUUGAAUCAAGUGGGAGUUAAUCUUCCAGAUAAGAUAGUGAUUGACAGAAUUCUCUAGUCACCAUCACCAAGUUAGUAGAACUUCGUGAUGAACUAUGAUAUGCAAGGGAUAACGGAAACGAUUCCCAAGCUCUUCGUAAUGCAGAAAUUGACGAAGGUAGAAAUCGAGAAAAACAUCAAGUGUUGAUGGUAGACAAGACCACUAGUUUCGAGAAAAGGGCAGAGGAAAGAAGGGGAACUUCAAGAAGAACAGCAAGCAAGUUGCUUCUCAAGUGAAGAAGCCCAAGUCUGAUCCUAAGCCUGAGACUAAGUGUUUCUACUGCAAAGGGACUGGUCACUGGAAGCGGAACUACCCCAAGUGAUUGGCAGAUAAGAAGGAUGGCAAAGUGAACAUAAGUAUAUUUGAUACACAUAUUAUUGAUGUGUACUUUACUAGUGUUUAUAGCAACCCCUCAGUAUUUGAUACUAAUUCAGUUGCUAAGAUUAGUAACUUGAAACGGGAGUUGCAGAAUAAACAGAGACUAGUUAAGGGUGAAGUGAUGAUGUGUGUUGGAAGUGGUUCCAAGAUUGAUAUGAUCAUCAUCGCACACUCCCUAUACUUUCGGGAUUAGUGUUGAACCUGAAUAAGUGUUAUUUGGUGUUUGCGUUAAGCAUGAAUAUGAUUUGAUCAUGUUUAUUGUAAUACGGUUAUUCAUUUAAGUAAGAGAAUAAAUUGUUGUUCUGUUUACAUGAAUAAAACCUUAUAUGGUUACACACCCAAUGAAAAUAGUUCGUUGGAUCUCAAUCGUAGUCAUAAUCAUAAUAUUGAAACCAAAAGAUGCAAAGUUAAUAAUGAUAGUGCAACUUAUUUGUAGCACUGCCGUUUAGGUCAUAUUGGUGUAAAGCGCAUGAAGAAACUCCAUGCUGAUGGGAUUUUGGAAUCACUUAAUUAUGAAUCACUUGAUGCUUGCGAACCAUGCCUCAUGGGCAAGAUGACUAAGACUCCGUUCUCCGGAGCGAGCAACUGACUUAUUAGAAAUAAUACAUACUGAUGUAUGCGGUCCGAUGAGUGUUAAGGCUCAUGGCAAGUAUCGUUAUUUUCUGAACUUCACAGAUGAUUUGAGCAGAUAUGGGUAUAUCUACUUGAUGAAACAUAAGUCUGAAACAUUUGAAAAGUUCAAAGAAUUUCAGAGUGAAGUGGAAAAUCAUCGUGACAAAGAAAAUAAAGUUUCUACGAUUUGAUCGCGGAGACAAAUAUUUGAGUUACGAGUUUGUUCUUCAAUUAAAACAAUGUGGAAUAGUUUCACAAACUCAUGCCACAUGGAACACCACAGCAUAAUGGUGUGUCCGAACGUCAUAACCGUACUUUAUUGGAUAUAGUGCAAUCUAUGAUGUCUCUUACCGAUCUACCACUAUCAUUUUGGGGUUAUGCAUUAGAGACAGCUGCACUCACGUUAAAUAGGGCACCAUCUAAAUCCAUUGAGACGACACCAUAUGAACUAUGGUUUGGCAAGAAACCUAAGCUGUCGUUUCUUAAAGUUUGGGACUGCGAUGCUUAUGUGAAAAGGUUUCAACAUGAUAAGCUCGAACCCAAAUCGGAGAAGUAGAUCUUCAUAGGAUAUCCAAAGGAAACUAUUGGAUACACCUUCUAUCACAGAUCCGAAGGCAAGACUUUUGUUGCUAAAUUCGGAAACUUUCUAGAGAAGGAGUUUCUCUCGAAAGAAGUGAGUGGGAGGAAAGUAGAACUUGAUGAGGUAACUGUACCUGCUCCCUUAUUGGAAAGUAGUUCAUCACAGAAAUCUGUUCCUGUGACUACUACACCAAUUAGUGAGGAAGCUAAUGAUGAUGAUCAUGCAACUUCAGAUCAAGUUACUACCGAAUCUCGUAGGUAAACCAGAGUGAGAUCCGCACCAGAGUAGUACAGUAAUCCUGUUCUGGAAGUCAUGUUACUAGACCAUGACGAACUUGCGAACUAUGAGAAGCGAUGAUGAGCCCAGAUUCCGCGAAAUGGUUUGAGGCCAUAAAAUCUGAGAUAUGAUCCAUGUAUGAGAACAAAGUAUGGACUUCGAUGGAUUUGUCCGAUGAUCGGCAAGCCAUAGAAAAUAAAUGGAUCUUCAAGAGGAAGACGGACGCUGAUAGUAGUGUUACUAUCUAUAAAGCUAGAAUUUUCGCAAAAGGUUUUCGACAAGUUCAAGGUGUUGACUAUGAUGAGAUUUUCUCACUCGUAUAUAUGCUUAAGUCUAUCCGAAUCAUGUUAGCAAUUGCCGCAUUUUAUGAAAUCUGGCAAAUGGAUAAACAAAACUGCAUUCCUUAAUGGAUUUCUUAAAGAAGAGUUGUAUAUGAUGCAACCAGAAGGUUUUGUUAAUCCUAAAGGUGUUAACAAAAUAUGCAAGCUCCAACGAUCCAUCUAUGGACUGGUGCAAGCAUCUCGGAGUUGGAAUAUACGCUUUGAUAAGUUGAUCAAAGCAUAUAGUUUUAUACAGACUUACGGUGAAGCCUGUAUUUACAAGAAAGUGAGUGGGAGCACUACAACAUUUCUGAUAAGUAUAUGUGAACAACAUAUUGUUGAUCGGAAAUAAUGUAUAAUUUUCUGGAAAGCAUAAAGGAAUAUUUGAAAGGAGUUUUUCAAAGAAAGACAUCGGUAAGGCUGCUUACAUAUUGAGCAUCAAGAUCUAUAGAGAUAGAUCAAGACGCUUGAUAAGUUUUUCAAUGAGUACAUACCUUGACAAGAUUUUGAAGUAGUUCAAAAAUGGAACAGUCAAAGAAAGAGUUCCUGCCUGUGUUGCAAGGUGUGAAAUUGAGUAAGACUCAAAGCCCGACCACAGCAGAAGAUAGAAAUAGAAUGAAAGUCAUUCCCUAUGCCUCAGCCAUAGGUUCUAUAAAGUAUGCCAUGUUGUGUACCAGAUCUAUUGUAUACCAUACACUGUGUUAAGCAAGGGAGUACAAUAGUGAUCUAAGAGUAAAUCACUGGACAUCGGUCAAAAUUAUCCUUAGUGGAAUAAGGAAAUAUUUCUCAAUUAUGGAGGUGACAAAAAGGUUCGUUGUAAAAAGUUACGUCGAUGCAAGUUUUGACACAGAUCUGGAUGACUCUAAGUCUCGAUCUAGAUACAUAUUGAAAGUGGGAGCAAUAAGCUAGAGUAGCUCCGUGCAGAGCAUUGUUGACAUAGAAAUUCGCAAAAUACUUAUGGAUCUAAAUAUGACAGACCCGUUGACUAAAAUUAUCUCACAAGCAAAACAUGAUCACACCUUAGUACUCUUUGGGUGUUAAUCACAUAGCGAUGUGAACUAGAUUACUGACUCUAGUAAACCCUUUGGGUGUUGAUCACAUAUCGAUGUGAACUAUGGGUGUUAAUCACAUGGUGAUGUGAACUAUUGCUGUUAAAUCACAUGGCGAUGUGAACUAGAUUAUUGACUCUAGUGCAAGUGGGAGACUGAAGGAAAUAUGCCCUAGAGGCAAUGAUAAAGUUAUUAUUUAUUUCCUUAUAUCAUGAUAAAUGUUUAUUAUUCAUGCUAGAAUUGUAUUAACCGGAAACAUAAUACUUGUGUGAAUACAUAGACAAACAAAGUGUCACUAGUAUGCCUCUACUUGACUAGCUCGUUAAUCGAAGAUGGUUAUGUUUCCUAAACCAUAAACAAAUGAGUUGUUAUUUGAUUAACGGGAUCACAUCAUUAGGAGAAUGAUGUGAUUGACAUGACCCAUUCCAUUAGCUUAGCACCCGAUUGUUUAGUAUGUUGCUAUUGCUUUCUUCAUGACUUAUACAUGUUCCUAUGACUAUGAGAUUAUGCAACUCCCGUUUGCCAGAGGAACUCUUUGUGUGCUACCAAACGUCACAACGUAACUGGGUGAUUAUAAAGGAGCUCUACAGGUGUCUCCAAAGGUACAUGUUGGGUUGGCGUAUUUCGAGAUUAGGAUUUGUCACUCCGAUUGUCGGAGAGGUAUCUCUGGGCCCUCUCGGUAAUGCACAUCACAUAAGCCUUGCAAGCAUUGUAACUAAUGAGUUAGUUGUGAGAUGAUGUAUUACGGAAUGAGUAAAGAGACUUACCGGUAAUGAGAUUGAACUAGGUAUUAAGAUACCGACGAUCGAAUCUCGGGUAAGUAACAUACCGAUGACAAAGGGAACAACGUAUGUUGUUAUGCGGUCUGACCGAUAAAGAUCUUCGUAGAAUAUGUAGGAGCCAAUAUGGGCAUCCAGGUCCCGCUAUUGGUUAUUGACCGGAGACGUGUCUCGGUCAUGUCUACAUUAUUCUCGAACCGUAGGGUCCGCGCGCUUAAGGUUUCGAUGACAGUUAUAUUAUGAGUUUAUGAGUUUUGAUGUACCGAAGGAGUUCGGAGUCCCAGAUGAGAUCGGGGACAUGACGAGGAGUCUCGAAAUGGUCGAGACGUAAAGAUCGAUAUAUUGGACGACUAUAUUUGGACAUCGGAAAGGUUCCGAGUGAUUCGGGUAUUUUUCGGAGUACCGGGUAGUUACGGGAGAAGCAAUGGGCCUUCAUGGGCUUUAGUGGGAAGAGGAAAAAGGGCCAAGGGGCUGCUGCGCCCCCCUCCCCUCUAGUCCGAACUGGACUAGGGAAAAGGGGGUCGGCCACCUUUCCUUCUCCUCUACUUCCUUCUCCCUUCCUCCCCUCUUGGUGGACUCCUACUAGGACUUGGAGUCCUAGUAGGACUCCACAUCCUGGCCGCACCAAUUGCCUUGGCCGGCCUCCUCCUCCUCCUCCAUCCUUUAUAUACUGAGGCAAGGGGCACCCCAUGAACACAAGUUGAUCUUCCUGAUCGUUCCUUAGCCGUGUGCGGUGCCUCCCUCCACCAUAUUCCACCUCAGUCAUAUUGUAGCGGUGCUUGGGCGAAGCCCUGCGACGAUAGAACAUCAAGAUCAUCACCACGCCGUUGUGCUGACGGAACUCCUCCCCGACGCUUUGCUGGAUCGGAGCCCGGGGAUCGUCAUCGAGCUGAACGUGUGCCAAGAACUCGGAGGUGCCGGAGUAACGGUGCUUGGAUCGGUCGGAUCGUGAAGACGUACAACUACAUCAACCGCGUUGUCACAACGCUUCCGCUGUCGGUCUACAAGGGUACGUAGAUCACACUCUUCCCCUCGUUGCUAUGCAUCACCAUGAUCUUGCGUGUGCGUAGGAUUUUUUUUGAAAUUACUACGUUCCCCAACAACAAGUGCUUCAACCAAAGGUGUCGGGGAUAUACCCCGCGGUAUGACCCGGCCGGAAGUAUGACCCGGCCGGACUUGGCGGCUCACUAGAGACCCGGCGAUAUUUGGUGACUUACUGAUGACCCCGACGCCGGGUCGGAUGGAUGACAAGACCCAAGGCCCAAAAAGUCGGUUCAUGUGAUGGUGGGCCGGCUUAAGAGAAAAGGUGUAAGGAAUAUUCUCCUACAAAGGAAGCAAGACUAGGACUCCACUUGUAAUAGAGUAAUCCUAAUCCUAAAAGGACUAGUCAUGUAAGCCGCCCCUUCAACACAUAUAAGGAGGGGCAGGGCACCCCAAGAGGGACAAGUUUUCGUAAGUUUCACAAGUUAGGUUUAGACAGACAAGUCAAUAGCUCUCGAGAUAGAGCACCCUUGUAAUCAUGAUCAUCAUCAUGAAUAUUAAUGAAGCAGGAUGUAAGCUUUUACCUCCACCGUGAGGGGCCGAACCUGGGUAAAAGCCUCGCGUCUCUCGUCUCGUUCAACCCCUCUCAAGCUACCACAUAGAUGCGUUGGCCUCACGACUAAGUCCUCACAUUAGGACAUCUGCUGUGACAAUUCCACGACAGUUGGCGCCCACCGUGGGGCUCGCACGGUGGUGAUGAGUUCUUGGAGGGAUCUUUCCAGGAUCGAGAAGCUCGCAAUUUCUUUUCUGAUGAAGAAGAGCCGGCGUGGAACAAUCACGCAGGGUAACUUGACUCACACAACCUCGAGCGGAGCCAAUGAUAUUCAUCGUAUUAAGAUCAGAGUCAUGAUUAAACUUCAGAGCCAUCAGUUUUUCCUUCUCGGAUACGAGACGUAUACUUCAGAGCUGUGGCCAAGUCGCUGCAAUCUUUGUUUUCCGCCAAUCGACAUGAAGCUUCCAAAAAAAUGGGAAGACACAUCUGUUUGUAUGAGUCAACAGUAGUAGUCAUACUAUUUCACUUAGUACUCUGCCAUGUGAUGGCCAAGUUGAUCCACAGCUCCAAAUAUUUUAUUGGCCCAAAACUGCUACAUCGGGAGUCAGACAAUUCAUCAUAGUACUAGGAGGUGUUUGGUUCAGAAGUCCUAGGACUUUUUCUAGUCCCAGGGACUAAUCAAAAAAGACUCUAUAGUAGAGUCUUUUUCUAGUCCCUGUAGAAAAAGUCCCCCCCGUUUGGUUCCUAGGGACUUUUUAGGGACUUUUUCUAGUCUCUGGAACUAAAAAGUCGCUGAACCAAACACCCCCUUGUUGUUGCUAGUACACGAGUGGAGAAGGAAAAAGGCCGUGGAUCAGCAAAGUAAAACCGAGGUGACAUCUCUCCUACUUGAGUUCCUUAUGAAUUUGGAUGAGGGUUGCUCCAAUAGGAUGGCGCUCCCGCGAGUCGACCGCCGACCGCCGGAUAUGGCCGGGGUCAGUCGUCCGCCGGGGUCCACGACCCCGCUCGCGACCUGCUUCACUUUGGGAGACACGCGGUGGCGGAUCAUGUUCGCCCUGGAUCUCAUGGCGGCGCGCUCCAUCACUUUCGCCGUCGGCGAGCUUCUUCUCCGUCACGACGCGCUUUGCUUGGUGCUUCUCGACGAUCACGACAGCACGGUGGACGCCUGAUCCCUACGCAUCGAUGAAGUGAUUGGCAUCGCGUACAUCGUUCCCUUCCCUUGUCAUUUUGCUAGGGUUUGGGAUCGUCUUCCUCCCCCUAAUCCUACGGUUCGACCACCGGAGCGUCGUGGCGCCGGCGCGGCCGCGCGCGGCGAGCCACUGCGCUCACAUGAGGGGGCCGGGUUGCUGGGGGUGGUUCAGGGAAAUCGACUCGAUACCCCCCCCUCCUGGCCAGUCCGGGGAUCCUGGGGCGUCGACCGGCUGAAAACCGCUCCACCCCCCGGAUCUGGGACACGUGGGGACUGAUGGAUCCGACCGCCAUGAUCAGGCCGCAACUAGGGUUUCGUCCCCUCCUCCUGUUAUAAGUCGCCGCGCCGCUACUUUGCGUCCCCCCAUUUUGGAUCUGGAAGAAUGUCUUAACCAUUUCUGGGAGAAGCCGGAGAGAGAGAAACCUAGGGUUCGUCCUUCCUUUGGCUGGUGGGAGGGGAAAAUCCGUGGUGAUCUUCGAUCAUUCGCUCAAGUUGCCUCCUCCUUCCCACCUAAAUUUGCUACUUUCCCUCCCUGUGAAACACCUAAGAUGAGAGAAGAGGGGUUCGGCGCGGGUCGUCAUGGCCGCGGCGCAGGCCGUUUCAACCGGGGUGAAGGGCGAGGCCGUGGCGAUGGCGGCCGCGGCCGCUUUGAAGGUGGCGGCGGGGGACGGGGGGCGUGGCCGUGAUAGCCAUGUCUGGACCCGCAAGACGGCGAUGGGGGCCUCCUCCUCCAACACUCCGGCCAGAUCUGAUGAGGUUGGCUUCGAUCGUUGGGAGAAAGCUGUCGGAGCGCAGCAGGAUGAUCUGGUCCAUCAAGAUCGAUGCAGGGCCGAGAGAGAUGGCUCAAACCCUCGCAACAAUGACAAGAUUCCCUCUCCUGACAAGAUGCAUGAGCUUCCUUUUAUCCCUGAUCAUUUGGUCAUCUCCUCUGUGCUUUGUCAAAUUUGUAGUCAUACGGGGCAUUCCACUGCCAAGUGUCCCCAAGCUCUCUGUGUUAGAUGCAAAAAGAAAGGCCAUCUAUCUGUGAUCUGCACUGAUUUCCUGCCCUGGGAGUGCAUACCUGCGAUGUGCGCUUUCCAAGCCAAAGGGCAGGGGUUUCACUAUAUUCAUGAUUAUUCUGUUGGUAGUCAGGCUAAUGAGAGGAUAGUCAAGGUCAUUAUUACUAUUGUUGAAGGGGAGCUUACCACCAAACAGCUAGUAGAUGAGUUUGAAAAGUAUAUUGGUCAGGGGUGGAGAUGUUCGGCUCACUUGAUUGCCCCAAAACAAUAUGUGAUGCGUUUUCCUAAUCAAAUAGAGGUGGAUAAAGCUCUGUUUGUUGAAUAUAUUCCUCUUAAAUCUUUGGGUGUGGUUGUCCGUAUUACUCCUCGGUAUGAGGAUGUAGAAUCUGAGGGUCUGCUGGAAGUUGAUUGGGUUAAAAUCAGUAAGAUCCCACCUAACAAAAGAUGUGACAAUAAUGUGGCUUACAUUGGGGGACUGGUUGGGGUGACCCUAGACAUUGAUAUGUCGACCCUCAAUCGUCCUUCUUCUGUGCGUGUCAAACUGGGAUGCCGUGAGGUUGAUAAGAUGCCCAGAUCAGCUGAAGGAUGUUUAGGGGGGCGGUUCUAUCGCUUUCAUUAUGAGGUUGAAGAGGUCCUGGUGAGAAAUGCCAUUCGUGAGGAAGAACCUGUUCAGGUCCCACAUUACGCUGUCCUGAAGAAUGGUACUCCUAAACGCAAACGGAAUGAUACCCCCCCUAGUGAGCAUGACAAGCCCUCAGAGAGGACUGAAAAAGCUAAAACCUCCUCCUAUAGUGGCGGCAAAGCCUGUCGCUUGCCAUCACCUAAGGACGAGGAUCAGAUCCAUGCUGACAGUUCUUCUUCUGAAAGUGAUAAUGGUGGUGCUAACAGCCCUUUGCUGAUUGAGACACUGGCCUUGGAAAUGGCUACUGAUACAACGCAUCAAGGGGGUGGGCACUUGCUGUCCCAGAGUGACACCCGCAAGCAUGAUCCUGUUGAUCAUGUGGUUGCUAGUGAUCACUCUUUGCAGGUGAAUGUUUUGCCUGUUAGUACUUCUCCUAUUUUAGCUUCUUUCUCAGUUACUAAUUCAGCUCAGAUUUCUGUGGUGGUUGGAUACGAGGGAUCAGACUUGAAGGUGUCCAUGGACUACACGGUACAGCUUCCUCAAACUAACCGCGAGGAGAUUACUCCUACACCCCCUCUCGCACGUGAACUUCACCUUCGAUUCAGUCAGCGCAACCCUCACCUCCAGCAUAUGAAUGUGGAAGCAAGGGCUGCAAACCUGAUCAACGCCAAAAAUCUGACAGGUAAAAGCAAACCCAGUAAUAACAAUGCCUUUGCUGCUCUUGCUGAUUCUGAACUUAUUAGCCGUGCUUCCAAGAUGGGGGUCCUAAUCCCUGAUAAUGAUUUCUCUUGUGUUAACAUUGUGAGGGAAUUAGAGGCUGUUAGAGCCAAUCUGAUUGCUAAAUGUACAAACCCCCAGGUUACUAUUGAUGAAGUGUUUGUUACUGAUGGACUUGGCAAAGAUACCCCCCUGAAUUUAACUUGGCUUGAUGAAGAUGAGAUUGCCAAUGAUAAGUUAGUUAAGUCCAAGUCAGCUAAAAAAAGUAAGAAAAAGAUAGACAAUAAAUUCCUAUGCCUGUGACUAGGAGUCAAAACAAGAAGAAGGACGGUGCUGAUGUUUCUGGUGUCUCUACCCUGUCUAGUAGGGUCACCAGAACCAGGAAACAAACUAAUUGUUCCAAAUGAGUGGUCUCAUUUGGAACUGCAGAGGGGUGGGCAAGAAGGGAAUGGCCACCUGCCUCUCUGAUAUCAUCAGUGACCAUUCCGUGGAUUUCCUUGGGUUGCAAGAAACUUUGAAAAAAUAUUUUACUCCUAAACUCCUUAGAAAACUUGAUCCCUUUAAUUCUUUCCAUUGGGAAUGGAUUCCUGCUAUCGGGAAAUCUGGGGGCAUCCUCUGUGGUGUUCGCAUCAGCAACCUGGAGUUGCUGAAAUGCAUUAAAGGGGAUUAUGUUCUGCAAAUGCAUGUUAGAGACCUCAAGACCAAAAAAAUCUGGAGCUUCCUAGUGGUUUAUGGUCCAGCUCAUGAGGAACACAUGGGAGAGUUCUUGAUGGAGCUGGCCACCUUUUGCCAUAACACUGACGUUCCCUAUAUAGUUGGGGGUGACUUCAAUAUUCUGAGACAUACUGAUGAGAAAAACAAAAAGAUGCACAGAUCUAAAUCUGUUGAUCUUUUCAAUUCAACCAUUAACACUCUUGGGCUUAGAGAAAUCUAUAUGAGUGGUGGUAAAUACACCUGGUCCAAUAAACAAUCCCACCCUACGCUCGAAAAACUUGAUCGGGUAUUAAUGUCUGACUCUUGGGAGGAGAUGUUUCCCUUGGUCUUUAUGAGGAAAUUGGUUAGGGAACUGUCUGACCACAAUCCUCUUUUGCUCUACCCUAAUGGAGAAAAAAGGGCACCUACUAAAGCCCGAGAGUUUCGCUUUGAUCUAUCCUGGCUAAAGGAUGACAGAUUCCUCGGCCUUGUAUCUAAAAUCUGGAAUAGAAAGGUUGCUGCCCCGGAUCCCAUCGACAUCCUAAACAUCAAACUGAAAAGAUUUAAAUCUUACUUCAAGGGGUGGGGCUCGGAUAAGUUUGGACAUGCCAAGAGAUGGAAAGAAGACCUACGAUUGGAGGUUGAGCUGCUGGAAGAGGCAGAGGAGGAGGGCCCCCUUUCGCCCGAGCUAUACGGUAGGAAAACUGAUGUUUGUUUUGAGCUCCAUGAGCUGCUUGUCGCUGAAGAAAUCUACUGGCUUCAGCAGUCUCACGAACGCUGGCUACUCCGAGGGGACCGCAAUAUGGAUUACUUUCAUAAGAUUGCCAAUGGCCGUAAACGGAAAAACACUAUCCACGCUCUCAAGUGUGGGGAGGUGGAGAUUGAGGGCAUUGAUAACCUGUUGGCCCACGCUACUAACUUCUAUAAAGAUCUCUUUGGCCCUGCACCAGGUAACCUGUUUCGUCUGGACCCUAAUACUUGGGGAGAGGAUGAAAAACUCUCGGCCCAGGAUAAUUUUGAUCUAAUUAGAGAAUUCUCUGAGGAAGAGGUCAAAGAGGCUUUAUUUGACAUGGAUGUCAACAGAGCACCAGGGCCUGAUAACAUUCCUGCUGAAUUUUAUCAGUACUGUUGGGAUAUAGUUAAAAAUGAUAUCAUGAGGCUUUUUGACAGCUUCCACACAGGCACACUGGAUGUGCAGCGCCUUAACUAUGGCAUUAUCACCUUGCUCCCUAAAGUCUCGGGGGCUGAUCGUAUACAACAAUUUCGACCUAUCUGCCUUCUUCGUUGUCCCUACAAGUUGAUCACCAAGGUUAUGGAUAGGAGAGUUUCUAGGUACGCUGACAUCCUUAUCAGUCCCACUCAGAAUGCCUUUGUAAAAGGCAGAAGCAUUAUGGAUGGGUUGUUGGCUCUCCACGAACUUCUCAACUAUACCCAUGUCAAAAAGAGGGUCGGGGUGGUCCUCAAACUUGAUUUCGAAAAAGCCUACGAUAAAGUCAAUUGGGACUUCCUACUUGAGUGUCAUAAGAUGCGAGGCUUUGAUCCCAAAUGGUGUAGCUGGGUUGAGCAAAUCCUUCGCAAUGGCACAGUCAGCAUCAAGUUGAAUAAUUGUGUCGGGCCCUAUUUCCGAAGUGCUAAAGGGGUACGCCAGGGGGACCCAUAUUCUCCUUUCUUGUUUAAUAUGGAUGUGGAAUGCCUCACUAAAAUGAUCAAGAAUGCCCAGAACAAUAAUCUCAUUGUUGGGUUAGCUUUGGAUCUUAUUCCACAUGGAGUUGCGGUGCUGCAAUAUGCAGACGACACGAUCAUCUGUCUAGAGCACGAUAUGGAAAAGGCCGUUAAUCUUAAACUCCUGUUGUACGCUUUUGAAAUGAUGUCUGGCCUCAAGGUUAAUUUUCACAAGAGUGAGAUCUUAACCGUUGGGGGGAUGCCCAGACUACUAAGGCUUAUGCUAAGCUAUUCAAUUGCGAUAUAGGUCAAUUCCCUUUUAAAUAUUUGGGCAUGCCAGUGAGCUACACGGCUUUGAGAAACUCUAACUGGGAUUUCAUAGUUGAUAAAUAUCUCCUUAGAUUUGAUGCCUGGGUUGGUAAUACUGCUUAUAUGGGAGGGAGACACACCCUUCUAGACUCAAUAGUUACUCAACUCUCUCUGUACCACAUAUCUAUGUGGCUGAUGAACGAAACUUUUGUGAAAAAAUUGGACAAACAUAGAAGAAGAUUCUUCUGGCAAGGGUGUAUUAAAAAACGGAGAUAUCACUUGAUCAGAUGGAACAAGAUAUGUAGAUCUAAAGAGAAAGGGGGGCUGGGUAUUAAAGACCUACGCAAACAAAAUAUUAAUCUGAUGCUCAAGUGGUGGUGGAAGUUAGACACCCAGAAAGGGAUAUGGCAAGAUAUUGUUCGGGCUAGAUACCUUCGCAACCAAACCGUUGCAACUGUUAGCCCUCGUUUUUCUGAUUCACCCUGUUGGAAAAACUUGCUGAAAAUCAAAAACCUAUAUAUGAUAGGCAGGAAACUGUGUGUAGGGAAAGGUAACCUAACCAGGUUAUGGAAAGACUCUAUCAAUGGGUUAACGCCUUUCCAAGAACAAUUCCCAUGCCUGUUUGAUAUUUGUGUUGAUCAAGAUUGUACACUAGAUAAGCUAAGCUCCAUAACCUGUUCUAGCUUUUUCCGCAGAAGAUUGAAUGCUGAUUUGAUAGACCAGUGGUCUAACCUUCAAGGGCAGGUGCGCAAUUUGAACUUACCGAAUACCCCUGACUCGGUAUAUUGGUACAUGAAUAAAUCUGGCAAAUAUACUACCAAAUCCAUGUAUAAAUGGCUCGAAAAGCCCCUUAGUGGCUGAAACUAUAGAUGGAUUUGGAAGGCCAAGAUCCCUCUGAAGAUACAAAUCUUUCUUUGGCAACUUUCACAAGACGCCAUCCUGACUAGGUAGGUGAUGCGACAUCGAAAAUGGCCUGGGAACCCUGUGUGUUCCUUCUGCCAGCAAAUUGAAACUUCCCAGCACUUGUUUUUUGAAUGUUCUGUUGCCAGAGUGGUUUGGAGAUCUAUUGGAGUAACUCUGGGGACUGAUCUUUGCCCCAAAAAUUGCUGGCAGUUUUUUGUUUGGUGCUAUUCUUUCAUUCCUGAGUACGAACGCUUUUAUACAGUGGCCUUGGGCGCAGUCACCUGGUCCAUCUGGCUGGCACGGAAUCGUGCUACCUUUGAGAAGAAGAUGACCAAAUCUCCUUUUGAGAUUGUUUUUACGGUGGUUUCUUUCCUUCUUUAUUGGGCAGGGCUUCAGGUGGGAGACGACGUCAAGCAGCUUCGGGCAGGGGCGGAGAUGAUUCGCGAUGGGACGAUGAUGUUGAUGCGAGCCUGUGAUGCGACUAUCAAGAUUGGAGAAUGAACAAAGGAAAAAGGAGCUCCUCAAGCACCCCAUGCCUCGCGCUGCAUCUUUUACCACCCCUGUUCGUUGGAACAGUGGGCUUCUGUCUGAACUUCGGCUCCUGGUGUUUUGCUGUCAUUCUCUCUUGUGACUUCUGGGCUGUCAUCUGUAAUAGGUCUAGAUGUUUGGUGCUACUAGGUUUUCGCCCCAUAGUGGCCGUUUCGAUGGUGAGCGGGCGCCGUGGGUUUCCUAGUAGUGUGUUGAACUCGCUCUCCCCCUCUCCUUGUUCUUAGUCUCACCCUUGUUAUCUCAGACUGGUUGUAUUUCCGUUCUAAGUAAUGGAAAGGGGGUUAGCCCGGUUCAAAAAAAAGCGGGGCACGACCUGGAGAAGGACUUGGAUGUUGACCCGGAUUUCUCUUCUAUUGUUGUGGUCUGCGCCUUGCCUGGCCAGUCCGCCUGUGACUCGCAUGGCCUUAAGCCUCUCGUUGCUACCGCUGUUCGUCAGAUGGUUUCCCCCUGCGUUAGGCCUCUCAUUGCUUGUCCUCGAGCCGACCGGCCACCUCCUCCGUCGUGGUUAGCUCUAGCCGCAUCCUUGCCAAGCCGACCUGCUUCAAGACCAUCCUCGCGUUGCCGAGUCGCCACGGAGAGCCGCCGUCCCCACGACGCCUGCCUCUGUUCUGAGGUUGCUCCGUUCCAAGUCGUCGUAGUUGUCGCGGCACCCAAGCCGUUUCGGCUUCAGUAUGGCUGCCCCAGCCACCUUCGUGUAAGCUCGCGCCCGCGAACCCGAGUCGCUGUGUUGAGCCGCCGUCGUACGCGCCCGUUUCCAGCAACGACACAAGCCACCCUGUCGCCACAGCCCCCGCGGCCGUUUAAAAUCACCGUCCAUGGCCGUGCUAAAGCCGCCUCGUGGAGAGCUACCGCUGGGGAGCCGCCCUGUGGGGCCGCAUGACGCUUCUUGCCUCCACUGCCGUCUCACCCUUGCGGUGAGCUGCCGCCCCUUUGCAGCCUUGAGCCGUCACUGUAAGCCGCCACGCUGACCGACCUUCAAGUAGCUGUUGCAGGCCACCGGCUGGCCGGUUUUCAGGUUGCUGCUCCAGAACGCCUGCACCAUGGAAGAGCCGCUGUAGCGGUCUCCAUUUCUGUCCGGAGAGUUCAUAGUACCGAUGUGAUUAGAUUUUUGAAAAAGAUUGAUGCGGUCAGAUUACCCCAACCAAGUUAAUGGUGUUACAACUACUACCAUCAGUAUUGCUGCUAUGUGCAAAACUCCAUGCACAGUUGCCAAAAACAUAUGGUGACCUUCAUCUACAUGUGAGGACCAAGAACCUUGUUAGUGGCCAUCCAACGCAAUCUAGCCUGCUGCUACUGGACUGGAGACACGCCAUGUCUACAACCAAACAACUCAUCCUGGCGGCCCCGCGCGUGUUCAAUGUAUUUGGGCUUCUCGUAUCAAAGCCAAAGAUCGCACCAGCAUCCGCUUAACAAAUACACACGCAGCCUGUCUGCGCCAGCGGUGUGUGCGCACCUACAAAUUCCAUCAGCUUCGUCAUGUGGCAUGUAAGAUGAAUAACUUCUGCUAGCACACGUCAUGGCAAUCUAACAUAUAAGGGCAUCUCCAGCCGCGCCCCCAACAGGGCCCCCAGGCCACUUUUUCGGCGCCGACGCCGAAAAAACGGCCCAGUCGCGCCCCCAGGACGCCGAAAAUUACCGGUUCGGACCUUUUUUCCACCCGGCGGUCACAGGCCGAACCCGGCGCACUGGGGAGCAGUUGGGGGCUCCGGCGCUAGGGAAAAGCACGCCUGGCCCACACCGACAGGGGAAAAUUCAAGGUUUUCUUCCCCCGACUCGCCUCGCACCCCCCGCGCCCUCGGCCACCACUAGCUAUAUCCCGGCGACGGCCGCCACCCUACUCCGUUAGAUAGCCAUUCCCCGCCAGAAAAUAGCAGCGCUUCGCUGAGGCAGCCCCUCCCACAGCAGCUGGGCCUUUCGGGCCGCCGUUUCCGGCCGCGGAGGCGCGGUUUAACGGCGGGUACACACCCACCGAGCGCAAGGUGUUCGCGUUUUGCCUGCCUCGGCGAUGGACUCGGAUGAUGAGGAAGAGCUCGCCGCGCUGCUGGAGGAGGAAGCCGCGGCCGACGUCCAGGAAGAAGAGUAUCUCAUGGUGCUCGCCACCCUCAGCCAGCUGCUGGCGAGCAAUGAAACGCCGCGGCGAGGUGGCUCGGUGCUGGGGCGGAUGAAAGCAAAGAACCGGCAUCGUCUCCAAGGCUACUACAUGCUCUACUCCGACUACUUCGUCGAUGCUCCACUUCAUGGCGAGAGAACAUUUCGGCGCCGUUAUCGGAUGUGCUGAAAGCUCUUCCUCAGGAUUGUGAAUUCCAUCCGGGAGUUCGACAACUACUUCAAGUGCAAGAUGGAUUGCACUGGCGCUCUUGGAUUCACCUCCAUCCAGAAGUGCACGACAACGAUGAGGAUGCUUGCAUACGGAGCUCCCAGUGAUUCACUCGACGACUAUGGGCGCAUGGCCGAGUCCACCAGCAUAGAGUGUUUCUAUAAGUUCUCUCGGGCAGUGGUGGCAGUGUUUGGGCCACAAUACUUGAGAACACCCAAUGCGGAAGACACUGCUCGGAUCCUAGCCCAGAAUGCAGCAAGAGGAUUUCCUGGGAUGCUUGGAAGUAUCGACUGCAUGCAUUGGAAAUGGAAGAAUUGCCCAUUUGGUUGGCAGGGGAUGUACAAAGGCGCCAAAGGCGGUUGCAGUGUGGUGCUUGAGGCGGUAGCCACACAGGACCUUUGGAUUUGGCACUCCUUCUUUGGUAUGCCAGGAACUCACAAUGACAUCAACGUGCUGCAGUGCUCUCCUAUUUUUGCCAAGCUCGUUGAGGGCCAUUCUCCUCCGGUGAACUUCAAGAUCAAUGGGCACCAAUACAACAAGGGGUACUACCUAGCAAAUGGCAUCUAUCCGAGAUGGUCGACAUUUGUGAAGACGAUCUCAAACCCUGCGACAGGAGGCAAGAACGUCUGGUUUGCGAAAGUUCAGGAGGCUUGCAGGAAGGAUGUCGAGCGGGCAUUUGGUGUGCUCCAAUCUUGAUUCGCUGUUGUUCGGUACCCCACUCAGACCUGGUCCAAAGAUCAAAUGUGGGAGAUUAUGACUUGCUGUGUCAUCUUGCAUAAUAUGAUCAUUGAGAGCGAGCAAGAAGACCCAGUGUUUGACACUAAACCAUACUACAGGCAGGGUCCUCUAGCCGAAGUUGAUCACCAGCUACCGGCAACUUGGACUGCCUAUCUCAGUAUGCGUCAGGAGAUCCGAGACCCACAGGUGCAUCAUCAACUGCAGGAAGAUCUGAUUGAGCACCUAUGGAGGCUCAAGGGGGACGCCGUGUGAUGAAAUAUGAGUUUUUAUUUGUUGAACUAUAUAAUUUGUAUUGAACUAUUUGUUGUUGUACUAUUUUGUUGAAAUAUUUGAUUUUUCUGUGAUGAAAUAUGUGAUAAGAAAUAAUUGUGUUGAUAAUUGAACGCCGAGACACGACGAAACCACGCCGAAUAUGGGCCUAUUCUCACCCAUAUGGGCCUAUUCUCGCCCAUAUGGGCCCUUUAUUCGCCGAAAUUGGGCUGCAAAGUGGGCCAAUUUCGGUGCCUGGGGGCGAGCUGGGGGCGACUAUUGGACGCAAAACCGCCCCAGCGUCGAUUGUAUCGCCAGCUCGCCCCAGAGGAUGAUUUUUAUGCGUCCUUGGGGGGCCAACGGCUGAAGACCCAAAGCCUCCUAGAGUGGUAGUCACAACAACUAAGGCAUCGAGCGCACGGUACCACGCGAGGGCGCACCGCACCACACGAGCGAAAUCCACAGCGAGCGAGCGAGGCCACAGCGAUCGAGCCAGAGGAAAAAAGGCAUCGAACCCUAGCCCCAAUCCACAGCCCCGCGCCUCUCGCUCCUCCCUCCCUCGUCCGCCGCCACUCCCUCCCACCUCCUCCUCCUGCGCCCUAGGAGCCCCGCCGGCGACUGCUACUCCUCCACCGCCUCGCCUCUUCCUCCUCCUCGCCUUCCCAUCGCUCGUCUUCAGGCCGCAGCGGUGGUUCCCGAUCUGAGCCGUCUUCAGGUGCGUGGAGCGACGGAGGUCGGCUCCCUCCUCCACGGUCGCGCGGCGGGAGAGGAGUCAGCCCCGGUGCUCUGCCUCUCCAUCCGUCUCCGCAAGCUAUCGUCCGAUGCCGUCAUUGCCCGCCAUCAUCUUCAUCUUGCUCGCUGCCUGCUUGCUAGAGAGCCAUGGCUUUCCUCGCUGUAGGUUCUGGCGUUCUGCCAUGGCUUUUCUUGUCCCGUCCCACUCGCCUCCCCCUCCUCGUCACCCUCCUCUCUCUCUCUCUCUCUUUCUCGCUCACUGCCAAGAAGCCGCCGGAGGAGGAACUCGACCUGGACGACCGCCGCUGGACGAAGAGCCCCGAAAAAAUCCCCCAACCACCCCUGCGCCACCGCCUCUUCACCUUCGACCACGGGUUGCAACGUACGGUCAGAGGACCAAGGUGUGGAUUCUCCCCCUUUCCCUUUUCCUUGAUUCUCAUUUGUUCCUCCAGCCCCUCCCAUCCUUGCCUACACAGCACACACACUCUCUCUCUCAUCUCGUGGAUGGGAAUGGCCAGCGUGGAUUAAUUAAUUUCAUCAUAUUUCUGUCAGAUUUGAUUUCAACAGCGGCGGUGGUGUCUUGCUGUUCUUUGCACAUAUUUCUGUCAGAUUUGAUUUAAUUUCAUCCUUGCUAUUCAUAUCUAUUAAUUAAUGACCUGUACAUACAUAUUUUAUCAUGUCUACUAACAAUCUCAUCAGUUUACAGUUCAUACAUCGGGUUAUUUUAUCCUGUUUUCUUCAGGUUUGAUUUAGGGUGUUCCUUUUUCCUUUUUCAGAUGUAUGCCAUAUGUGUAGCAAUAGUUCUAAAACACCCCCACUCCUUCUCUUCCUAUCAAUUUAAUCAGGACCCACUCUGGACCAUUUUCAGAAACCACUCUAAACCAUUUUCUGAAAAUUGAUAGGAAGAGAGUGAUUUUCAUAACAGCGGCUGCAGCCCCCAGGGUUAAUUAGAACCUAAAAUGUUUCCUUUAGUUUAUGAAAAAAGUCUAGAGUGGUUUCUGCAACUGCUGUUAUGUUUCAUUGAUUCAGUCCUAUAGUUGGAUGGUUCCAGUGGAUUUUACUAAAUGGUUUUGUAGAUUUAAUUAGUGAAAAGGCCUCAAUUGGUUUAUGAAACAUUGCUUGUCUGUUGGCAGUUGGAGCAUACUAGGCAAAUGGGCCUUGCCGUGAGUCGUGGUGCAACAGUGACCUCGAUGGGCAGGGCAAUGGUCAGAUACGAGUCAGCACCGAAGAUGACUGUAAGCACUCAAAAAAGUUUACCACGCUAGAGCUAUGUCAGGUACCUACUGUUCUUUUGUGCUUUUUGUUUUCUAUUUCCCGUCAGAAGCUCAUUCGAUAAUCAAUUUGCAGGUUGUAUGAGGGCAGUUAAUGAAUAUACUUGUGACACUUAAACUCUCAGGCAAGCUUGCUCUCAGGUAAAUUACUAAUCAUUCAAAUCACUAAUCAGGUAAAGCACAAUAAUAAGCCCACCAGUCAUAGCAGAGGAAAAAUAACCACGAAGUGAAAAUAGAUUGUGAAAAUUAGACAGCUCAGACGAUGUAAAAGACAGAAUCGGACGACCAGCGAGUUUUCAAUCUGGGGGAGCUCGGAGUAGCCGAGUUGCCCAGCCAGAUUAAUUUUUAUUGGGCAUUCAGAUUCUUAUUUUGCGUUUCGUAGAUUUUUAGCUGGGUGUAUAAACAUACACAGACACACUGACUUCUGAUUUCAGUGACGGGGGUAAAUUAUUGUGCCAUAUAUAUUGUUGCCAUAUUUAGUAAUCAUGCAUAUACAUGUACAUUGGUUUUUAUCAAAUGUACAUGUGCUCCUGUAGCAUAUCUUCAGGUUUGGGGAUUUAAAUGCCCUUUGUUUUGUGUACCAGGUGGUUAACUGAGAUUUUGUUUGCUUAUUCUACUGUUUUUUUAGCAAUGCCAACAAACAUGGUUUAUGAUGAUAUUGGUGGUCUGAAGCUUUAGAUCGUCGGGGCUGCUCUCAUUUGUUCAAUUUGCCAGUGAUCCUUCCAUUCUACUGCUGCUCAUUAUUAUCACAUGAAGGAGGUGUUCUUCCGUUACAAUACUCCUGACGUGUUCCAUGAAAUGUCUAUGAGCUGGUAUGUUGUUCAUUCUCUCUUUUUUUUCUUCUUGCAGGCUGAUCUAUGUUCUCUGUUUGUUGGGUCCUCCGUGUCAUUAUGAACAAGGUUGGGUCUCUCUUGCUCAGUUUUUGUCUACUAAAAGUGAUGUGAGCUGAUGUGCUUGUUUGGGCGGUCUCCCUGUGUGUGUGAUAUUUGUUUGCAUAUCAACCCUGUGUGCUUGAAAUUUACUUGCAUAUCAUGAUAUCAAACGAGGAUGUGUUCUUGUUUACCUCUUGAAUAGACAGAUCUUGGUGCAUUACUGGUACCGUGCCUCUAGGUGGUCAGGGAGGGUCGCACUUGCGCUAUGCUUCCCUCUGGAUUCUAGCAUGGUGUUCGGGUGCCUAGCUUAGUUCAGUUCUGAGUCGAAAGCAACGAAAUCAUAUGUUUCUGAAUCUUGGAUAUACCUUACAAUGCAGCGGCCCAUCCUUGUCGUGCCUGGACUGGCUAGAUCGAUUAGAGUUUGUCUAAUAUGCCUUCGGUAAUCAGCAGCAACACACGAGAUCCUGGAACCUGCAUUAGUUAUUGUUUGCACAAUAAUUACUUAUUGAUAUCAUUACCAAGCUAUCCGAGCCAUCAAUCUCCGGACACCACUUGGUUUCCUUGCCCAUUUAUUCAUCGGAUCUGUACACAAUCGACAGGAUUGACUUCAGAUCUUACAUAAGGUUUCAUAAAGAUAGUUCAGAACCUAAGCUAUACAAAGUUUUACAAACAAAAUCUACACAGACUCAUGGAUUUGAAACUGAAAGAUAUUAUGUGAUGCAUCUCUCCAAAAAUCCAGCAUAAUUAUAUAGAGGAAACAUAUAUUCCCAGAAAUUUACGGUCGCGGUCGAGAGCAACGGCGAGUGUAGAGCAAGCCUGUGGGAGGGUUUUUCUGAAAGCAAGCCCUCAGCUCGCCCCGACAACCUUUCCCUGUCAGCUUCGCUCCCCUCUUCCUCCUCUUUGCUUAGAAUUGUUUUAUUGUCAUUCAUAUUCUGUAUUAAAUUCUGAUGAGGUUUCUGCUUGUUAGAUUAAAUUCUAGCCAAGACUAAACUGUAGCCACAAGAAGGCAGGAUUCUACUUGUUUAGUCUAAAAAAGAGUUUUUGACUUAUUUGAUUAGAUUCUAAGUCAGCUUUUGGGGGGGACUUUAGAUACAAUCUGUUAGUUGAAAAAAAUAUGUGUUCUUGCGCUUGAGAAAUUGCUGCCACUGUUACUGUAUCAUAUAUGAAUAUGUACAAGGCAUCAGAAAGCACAAGUAGCAGGAACAAUUAGUUCAGUUUUAAUAUUAUAGUGCUACUCAUCCUAAAUUGUGUUAAUUAAUCUGCUAGACUAUGGUGAUGACAGAGGGGUACUGUUUUUUAAAAUUGUUUCUUUGUUCCAAUUAUAAAGGGCCCUCUGCAAGGAUAUUGAUUUCAUCAUGUGUAGAAGUUUAGUUGGACAGAUAUUGUUCGUCAGUUUCUUAGUGCGUGCCUAGCUGUUUCCCCUUUUUACAUUGCUUAUUUUCUAUAGGAUUUCUUGAAAGAUAAUAGCUUGCUUCAACAAUUGUAGAACGAUCAUGGUUUCUUUGCAUUUCUGUACUUUUAUACGAUUAACAAUUUCAUGGCUAUCCUGUGUAAGAAACAGACAUCAUUGGCAUUGGCCAAUGCAUUUGCGUUAAAUGCCCUGUUGGCCGAGUGAUGUAGUCCUAUUGUGAAGAUGCUUAUUGUUUCAUUUCUGUAAUGUAGGAACAUGUAUAUCCUUUCAAGUUCACUGAUGCGGUUACCACUACAACACACGUCCCUCCAAGGACCAAGGGUGGGCAUGAUCUUCUACAAGGUUGUUGUCUGUGACUAUUAGUACGGGAUCAACUUUGCGGUGUCCCCAUCGCUUCAAGUCAAGCUAAUAGAGCUAAAUGGGUAUCCAAUUUUAGAAAGCACACUUAAGAAACAUGAACACGUGUCUUUAGAUCCUAUGGAGCAUUCCUAAUAAUGACCAUCUAUUUAACUAUCUUGGAUCAUUACCAUUACAAAAUGCAGCAUGGCAUUCAUAAUGUUCAGUUAUUCAUAAAUGUGGCAUUUAAUUAUUCUCCUGGCAUGAUAUUUAAGCAUGUUGCAUAUACCAAUCUGUUGAUAAUUCAAUUAUUGAUUCUGAUGUACAAACAUGCAAAACCAUUGCCUGUUUGGAUGAUGCACAUGAGUAUGUUUUUGUUAGUUUUCGGUGAUGUACGUCGUGAAGCGGGACGGGCGGACGGAGACGGUGCACUUUGACAAGAUCACGGUGCGGCUCAAGAAGCUCAGCAAUGGGCUCAGCCAGGAGCACCGCAACCCCGUGCUCGGUCUGCGUCAGGGUAUACAUGGGCGUCACCACCAGCCAGCUCACCACCGAGACCGCCGCCGCGCUCACCGCCUCCCAGCCUGACUAUGCCUCCGUACGUUCCCUCUUUCGAUCUGUCUCUCCCCUUCCGGUCCGUUCCGUUCCCCCUCACGGCGCCCGUGUUCGUGUGUCCUGGUCUGACGUAUGUGCGUGUGUGGUUCUUCUGCAGCUCGCGGCGAGGAUUGUUGUGUCCAACCUGCCGCCAAGUGGAAAUAGUUUGUGUGGCGCUCGUAAAUAGAGAGCAUUCUGGUAGAAAGGUACAGGAAAGAAUAGGGAAACUUUUGUCAUUUUCUUUGGUCUCUGAAAAAUAAAUGGUGAUAUGGGCUGAUACAUUGCUAAAUUACAUGAUACAAACUCACUUCUUUUUUGAUUUUUGGUUUACUUUGUUGUGCUACAAUGGCUCUCCUAGGAAUGUUCUUCCAUGCUUUGAUGUGCACAAUCCAGAAAGUGCAUGCAUCCAGAAACCAAAUAGGAUUUUUUUGUGUUAUCUUCUCUUAAAUCUUGUGCUUGUCCAAUAAGAAUAAGGUUUGGUGGUAUUGCUUUUGUCUGUCACCUGGUAGAUUUCAGACUUCAAGCUAGCUGCAGUUAUUUCAGGUUCUAUGUGCAAAUCCUUGGUGUGACAUGAUUGGUAACUAACCAUGAAUACGUUACAAUCUGAUAUGUCUAAUUCUUGAUUUAUGUGGUACCAUGGUCUAAAAAUUGGUCCUAAAGAUACAUGAUGUUUUUGUACAAAGUUGAGACAGUUAUUUUGGAACGGAGGG
rnacentral:lncRNA from 1 species